UUGUUGGUAUUAUGUACAAACAGUUUAGUCCUCUUUUUUUUUUGCAAUCUUUAUCGAUUCUCAAUUUAUAAGUUGUUAGUUUCAUCAUAAUUUUGUGUAUUAUGUUGUUGUUGAAGCUCCAUCAAAAUAUUCAAUGCCCAAAAACAUAGGAAAGGCCGAAAGACUGUUCAAUGGAAAAACUGUGCAGGCAUUCCGGAGCAGAUGGGUGAUAAGACUUGUGGAUAUUGGAUUAUGCAUUACAUGAGGGAUAUAGUAGAGGACAAAAACCAAGAGUGGAGUGCUAAGUGGGAAAGAAAAGCAAAUCACUAUUACACAAUGGAGAAUGUUGAUGUUGUCCGGGCAGAGUGGGCAAAGUAUGUUAUGAAGUUCAGAGAUAACUAGUGCAUGUGUAGGUUUAUUAACUAGUGCAUCAACUUUUGGACAUGGA